AGUGAACGCUGGCGGUAGGCCUAACACAUGCAAGUCGAACGGCAGCACAGCAAGAGCUUGCUCUUACGGGUGGCGAGUGGCGGUCGGGUGAGGAAUACAUCGGAAUCUACUUUUUCGUGGGGGAUAACGUAGGGAAACUUACGCUAAUACCGCAUACGACCUACGGGUGAAAGCAGGGGAUCUUCGGACCUUGCGCGAUUGAAUGAGCCGAUGUCGGAUUAGCUAGUUGGCGGGGUAAAGGCCCACCAAGGCGACGAUCCGUAGCUGGUCUGAGAGGAUGAUCAGCCACACUGGAACUGAGACACGGUCCAGACUCCUACGGGAGGCAGCAGUGGGGAAUAUUGGACAAUGGGCGCAAGCCUGAUCCAGCCAUACCGCGUGGGUGAAGAAGGCCUUCGGGUUGUAAAGCCCUUUUGUUGGGAAAGAAAAGCAGCAGGUUAAUACCCCGCUGUUCUGACGGUACCCAAAGAAUAAGCACCGGCUAACUUCGUG
rnacentral:rRNA from 1 species